CAAGAUGAUCUUCAUUCAAUAAGAUAAUGCAAAGUCUCACAUUAGAACCCAGACCCUAGGGUUACAACCUCUGAAGAUAGCUUUGACAUUAGAAUAGUUCAACUCCAAAAUUCACCUGACACAAAUGUGAAUGAUCUGAGAUGAUUUAGAGUUAUUCAAAGUAUUUAAAUUGAAUCAAUAUGCUAUAAUGUUGACCAAUUGAUCAAUGCAAUUGAUGAAUCAUAUGCACAACUAUCUCUGCAUACUUUAAACAAAGUAUUCAUGAGCUUGCAAGGCUACAAUGCAAGAAAUCACGAAAGAAAUGGGCCACAAUGCCUACAGGAUACUACGUAUGAAAAAAGAUGCACUAGAGAGUGGAUCAUCAACUACUCCUAACUAACUUGGAAGUGCCACUUAACUUAGUAGAAGAGUGCAUAAUUUACAUGUUUGAAAAUGCUUCAAUGCUUUGUGUGGAAGGGCUAAUGGAUCAGUUCCUACAAUGAGGAAUUUAGAAAAUGAUGUUAGAUAUUUUUGUACAGACAGAAAACAUGUAAAGAUGCCUAUUGUUUUUUUUUUUUUUUUUUUUUGUUAGAAGGCUACUAUUUUUUAUGCCUAGAAAAACAUGUGUGUAGCAACAUAGUCUACUUGUUUAAGGUGUAAAAGAUGAUAUUUUUUUUAAUCCAUUAACUCUACAUGCUUUACAUAUGAAUGCACCAAACAAGCACAAAACAUAAUCCAAACCUCACAUAUGAAGAUAACAGCCAGCCAACAACCACAAAACACAAUCCAAACCUCACAUAUGAAGGAAGAACCGGCCUACAACCACAACACACAAUCCAACAGGGUCAUAACCUUAAAUCAUUGAAAAUUUUCAAAUAAAAUGUAGGCAAAAAUAAUCAUUUCAGCAUAAUUUCAAUACCGACGACAUAGUACUAGCCCACGUACCCCAAAUCGUAACAAUAUAAUCGAGUGUAGGGCAUUCAAGUAUCUCAAAUAUAGUGUGAUAAAAAAAUUAUUAUUUUAAUUUAAUUCAACCUACCUACAAUAAAAAAACAAGUGUAAAAGGAAACUCCUCACAAAUUUGCAGAUUAGGGGUAGCAAGAUUCACAACAUGUAUCACUUGUAGAAGGCUUCGCUCAAACCACCUGCUCCUCAGUCUUGGGGACAUCCAUCCAGCCUUCAUAAGUGCUUGCCCAUAUCGAUUCGUCUACUAUGUCGUCGAGAGAUAUGUUGGACCAUGGUGGCAGUAAGUCGGCGACGAUGAGGUCGCUCAUAUCGUCAUCUAACCCCAAAGAAUCGAGGGUCGUCGAUGGAGGAUCGGAGCUUGUCUUCUUUUUCGUCGUUGCGGCGGACGACGGAUGAUGGAUUUGGGCAGGUUUGCACAGAGAAGGGGUUGCACCGACAGAGAAUUCGAGAGAGAAGUGUAAGAGGCGGUUGUAUUAGAGUGAAGCAAUAAAUUAAAAAU
rnacentral:lncRNA from 1 species